rnacentral:rRNA from 1 species
GGGUAAACCUGCGAAACUCGAAUGAACGAACGGAGAGAUUCAUCAUCAUUCCGCGGCGUACGGGCUGCGCGCUUCGAUGUCGUCGGCCUCGGUCGUGCGGCACGACGCGCGUCCGUCGACGUCCGCGGACGGCGUGCACUUCUCUCUUAGUAAAUACAUCGCGACCCGUUCGAUGUCGGUCUAAGCGCCGUCCGGGAGUCCCACGGUCCCUUAACGGGGUCCGUUGGACCGCGACGGUGGCCGACCGGCCGUCGGACGGUAGUUCUGACGAAACGCGCACGCGUUUACAACGCGUCCGGCCCGACGCAAGUCAACGUCGUAUCCAACGUACCGCCUCAGCGCGGACGUAGGUGCGGCGCGUCUGCUGUUGCUGCCGUGCAGUCUCGGACUGUGCGCGUCUCUGUCUGCGAUGAUUCAGUUUCGGGCACUCGCAGGACCCGUCUUGAAACACGGACCAAGGAGUCUAGCAUGUAUGCGAGUCAUUGAGAUUAUAAAACUGAAAGGCGCAACGAAAGUGAAGGCGCGCGCUUGCCGCGCGCUCAGGGAGGAUGGAGCGUCGAUCUAGGUCGAUCUCUCGCACUCCCGAGGCGUCUCGUUUCCAAUCCGUGAAUGUAGGCGCGCUCUGAGCAUAAAUGCUGGGACCCGAAAGAUG